CCUACGGGAGGCUGCAGUAGGGAAUCUUUCACAAUGGGCGAAAGCCUGAUGGAGCAACGCCGCGUGCAGGAUGAAGGCCUUCUGGUUGUAAACUGCUUUUAUAAGCGAGAAAUAUGAUGGUAACUUAUGAAUAAGGAUCGGCUAACUACGUGCCAGCAGCCGCGGUCAUACGUAGGAUCCGAGCAUUAUCCGGAGUGACUGGGUGUAAAGAGUUGCGUAGGUGGCAUAAUAAGUAGCUAGUGAAAUCUGGUGGCUCAACCAUUCAGACUAUUAGCUAAACUGUUAAGCUCGAGACCGUUAGGGGUAACUGGAAUGUCUAGUGUAGGAGUGAAAUCCGUAGAUAUUAGAAGGAACACCAAUAGCGUAGGCAGGUUACUGGGACGGUUCUGACACUAAGGCACGAAAGCGUAGGGAGCAAACGGGAUUAGAUACCCUUGUAGUC
rnacentral:rRNA from 1 species